rnacentral:rRNA from 1 species
GGGCUUGACAUCCCACGAACCUGCCCGAAAGGGUAGGGUGCCCGCAAGGGAGCGUGGAGACAGGUGGUGCAUGGCUGUCGUCAGCUCGUGUCGUGAGAUGUUGGGUUAAGUCCCGCAACGAGCGCAACCCUCACCCCUUGUUGCCACCGGGUAAAGCCGAGCACUCUAGGGGAACUGCCAGCGUCAAGCUGGAGGAAGGCGAGGAUGACGUCAAGUCAUCAUGCCCCUUACGCCCUGGGCUACACACGUGCUACAAUGGCCGGCACAAAGGGAUGCAAGACCGCGAGGUGGAGCUAACCCCAAAAAACCGGUCUAAGUUCAGAUUGCAGUCUGCAACUCGACUGCAUGAAGGAGGAAUCGCUAGUAAUCGCGCAUCAGCACGGCGCGGUGAGUACGUUCCCGGGCCUUGUACACACCGCCCGUCACACCACGAAAGCCGGCUGUACUCGAAGUCGCUGAG